ACUGGCCUUAUGUUGGCCGGUUCUGCCAGUUGGGUGUGUCUAUCUGGCAUGAAUAAUGACUGGCCUUAUGUUGGCCGGUUCUGCCAGUUGGGUGUGUCUAUCUGGCAUGAAUAAUGACUGGCCUUAUGUUGGCCGGUUCUGCCAGUUGGGUGUAUCUAUCUGGCAUGAAUAAUGACUGGCCUUAUGUUGGCCGGUUCGGCCAGUUGGGUGUGUCUAUCUGGCAUGAAUAAUGACUGGCCUUAUGUUGGCCGGUUCUGCCAGUUGGGUGUGUCUAUCUGGCAUGAAUAAUGACUGGCCUUAUGUUGGCCGGUUCGGCCAGUUGGGUGUAUCUAUCUGGCAUGAAUAAUGACUGUUGAUGCUGUAAUGCCCACCUCUUGACAUCCAUUUGUGUUAUGUUGAACGGGGACAUGCUCAGACAGAUGCUCGUUUCAAAUGAUGACUUGAUUAAACAUGGAUCCUGUCUCCCAUGUGUCUGUUUUAGAUGUGUUUGUCACAUGAUUGGAUGGGAGGGACUUAUAUACCUGGGUGUAGUUUAGUUUCAUCCAGGUAUUACUACUGCUUGGCUGGAGCAUAAUCCUGCGCCCAUCAAAUAUGCCUUUUUAUUCAAAUCUAAUGUAUUUAUAAAGCCCUUCUUACUGAUAUCACCUGAUAUCUCAAAGUGCUGUACAGAAAACCAGCCUAAAACUCCAAACAGAAAGCAAUGCAGGUGUAGAAGCACGGUGGCUAGGAAAAGCUCCCUAGAAAGGCCAAAACCAAGGAAGAAACCUAGAGAGGAACCAGGCUAUGAGGGGUGGCCGGUCCUCUUCUGGCUGUGCCGGGUGGAGAUUAUAACAGAACAUGGCCAAGAUGUUCAUGAAUGGCCAACAUGGUCAAAUAAUAAUAAUCACAGUAGUUGUCGAGGGUGCAACAGGUCAGCACCUCAGGAGUAAAUGUCAAUUGGCUUUUCAUAGCUGAUCAUUGAGAGUAUCUCUACCGCUCCUGCUGUCUCUAGAGAGUUGAAAACAGCAGGUCUGGGACAGGUAGCAUGUCCGGUGAACAGGUCAGGGCUCCAUAGCCACAGGCAGAACAGUUGAAACUGGACCAGCAGCACGGCCAGGUGGACUGGGGACAGCAAGGAGUCAUCAUGCCAGGUAGUCCUGAGGCAUGGUCCUAGGGCACAGGUCCUCCGAAAGAGAGAAUUAGAGAGAGCAUACGUAAAUUCACACCGGAUAAGACAGGAGAAGUUCUCCAGAUAUGACUGACCCUAGCCCCCCGACACAAACUACUACAGCGUAAGUACUGGAGGCUGAGACAGGAGGGGUCAGGAGACACUGUGGCCCCAUCCGGUGAUACCACAGACCCAGACAGGGCCAAACAGGAAUAUAGGCAGGAUAUAAACCCCACCCACUUUGCCAAAGCACAGCCCCCACACCACUAUUAUUAUUUUUUUGUGGGGGGCAGGUAGAUUGUUCUAUCAAUGUAAUUGCAUCAUUUCCAAUACCCCAUAUUUUUUUGUAAAUAUAUACAGUACCAGUCAAAGGUUUGGGGGCACCUACUCAUUCAAGGGUUUUUCUUAAUUUUACUAUUAAAUAACGCAUAUGGAAUCAUG
ensembl:lncRNA